CCUUUUGGAGAAUCAUAUCAAAACGAAAGUAGCUACGGCAAAAAUCGGAUUCAAUGAAGAAGGAA
ncrna:unclassified sequences RAGATH-18 RNA